GACGAACGCUGGCGGCGUGCUUAACACAUGCAAGUCGAACGAACAGACCCUGAGCUUGCUCCUCUGACGUUAGCGGCGGACGUGUGAGUCACAUGAGUAGCCCCUACCUAUGAGACUGGGAUAACAUCGUGAAUCCGGAGCUAAUACCGUAUAAUAUCUUGAUGCGCAGGGUUGAAUAGUGAAUGACGGUUUUGCUGGCUCUUCUAGCUGGAUCCGCGCUGCUUUAGCUAGUUGGUACGGUAACGGCUUACGGAGGCAACGAUGCGUAGCCGACGUGAGAGGGUGAUCGGCCACACGGGAAGUGAGACACGGUCCAGGGUCCUACGGGAGGCACCAGUAGGGAAGCGUACGCAAUGGGGGGAAGCCUGACGGAGCGGCGCCAAGUGAGUGCUGAAAGUCUUCGGAUCGGAAAACUGUGUUAUGGGUGGAAAACAAAUGUGUAAGUAACUAUGCACGUCGUGACGGUACCUGAUCAGGAAGCAACGGCUAACUACGUG
rnacentral:rRNA from 1 species